UACGUAGGGGGCAAGCGUUGUUCGGAUUCAUUGGGCGUAAAGGGUGCGUAGGCGGCGCGGUAAGUCGGGGUGUGAAAUCUCGGGGCUUAACUCCGAAACUGCAUUCGAUACUGCCGUGCUUGAGGACUGGAGAGGAGACUGGAAUUUACGGUGUAGCGGUGAAAUGCGUAGAUAUCGUAAGGAAGACCAGUGGCGAAGGCGGGUCUCUGGACAGUUCCUGACGCUGAGGCACGAAAGCCAGGGGAGCAAACGGGG
rnacentral:rRNA from 1 species